rnacentral:rRNA from 1 species
UUAGCAGAAGUGUAUGGGAAGACACACCAUAGUAGGUAAUAGUCCUGUAAGCGAAAAGGAUAUUGACAAGGCAGGAUCCAGAGUACCACCGGACACGAGGAACCCGGUGGGAAGCCGGGGGGACCACCCCCCAAGCCUAAAUACUACCUGAUGACCGAUAGUGAAAAGUACAGUGAUGGAAAGUUGAAAAGAACCCCGGAAGGGGAGUGAAAAAGAAUCUGAAACCCUAUGUUUACAAGCUGCUAAAGCACUAUAUAUGUGCGAUAGCGUACUUUUUGUAGAACGGUCCGGCGAGUGUAUGUUGCAAGCGAGGUUAAGGUGUUAAGCACUGAAGCCGAAGGGAGACCGAGUGUGAAUAGCGCGUACAGUUUGCAGUAUACGACCCGAAACCGGGUGACCUAACCAUGGACAGGUUGAAGUGGAAGUAAAAUUCCAUGGAGGACCGAACCCACGUCUGUUGAAAAAGGCGGGGAUGAGCUGUGGUUAGCGGUGAAAUUCCAAUCGAACUCGGAUAUAGCUGGUUCUCAUCGAAAUAGCUUUAGGGCUAGCCUCAGGAUAGUUUAGCGGAGGUAAAGCACUGAAUGGGCUAGGGGGCUUCACGGCUUACCGAACCCUAUCAAACUCUGAAUGCCGCAUAAAUGUUUCCUGGGAGUCAGACUGCGUGAGAUAAGUUUCGUAGUCAAAAGGGAAAGAGCCCAGACCUACAGCUAAGGUCCCUAAAUGAAUUUAAGUGGAAAAGGAUGUGCAGUUGCGUAGACAACUAGGACGUUGGCUUAGAAGCAGCCACUCAUUUAAAGAGUGCGUAAUAGCUCACUAGUCGAGUGAUUGUGCGCCGAAAAUGUAACGGGGCUAAAAUUCAUACCGAAGCUUAGGAAUGAUAGUAAUAUUGUUGGUAGAUGAGCGUUGUGUAAGUCUGCGAAGCUACACCGAAAGGAGUAGUGGAGAUAUCACAAGUGAGAAUGCCGGAAUGAGUAGCGAGAAUUAUGUGAGAAUCAUAAUGGUCGAAAAUCUAAGGUUUCUUGAGGAAGGUUCGUCCGCUCAAGGUAAGCCGGGAGCUAAGGCGAGGCCGAGAGGCGUAGUCGAUGCACAUACGGUAAAGAUUCCGUAGCCACCGAAGUCGUUAAAUACAGGGACACAGGAACAUAGCCUAACCCCACCGUUGGUUGAGUGGGGCGUAAGGGAGCGAAAAUUAGUAGCGAAGUAGGUGAUUGUACACUGGCGAGAAAAGCUGUAUGAAUUGACCAGGUGCCCGUACCGCAAACCGACACAGGUAGAUGAGGAGAGAAUCCUAAGACCAGCGGGAGAAGUGUUGUUAAGGAACUCGGCAAAAUGACCCCGUAACUUCGGGAUAAGGGGAGCCUACGCGAGUAGGCCGCAGAGAAUAGUCUCAAGCGACUGUUUAGCAAAAACACAGGUCUAUGCUAAAUCGAAAGAUGAUGUAUAUGGGCUGACGCCUGCCCGGUGCUGGAAGGUUAAGGGGAAGUGUUAGAGCAAUCGAAGCACUGAACUUAAGCCCCAGUAAACGGCGGCCGUAACUAUAACGGUCCUAAGGUAGCGAAAUUCCUUGUCAGGUAAGUUCUGACCCGCACGAAUGGCGUAACGACUUGAGAGCUGUCUCAACAACAUACCCGGCGAAAUUGAAGUACUGGUAAAGAUGCCAGUUACCCGUGAUAAGACGGAAAGACCCCAUGGAGCUUUACUGUAACUUGAUAUUGAAUUUUUGUAUUACAUGUACAGGAUAGGUGGGAGACAGAGAACUAAUGCCGCCAGGUGUUAGGGAGUCGAUGUUGGGAUACCACUCUUGUAAUAUGAAGGUUCUAACCUGCACCCGUGAAUCCGGGUGGGGGACACUGUCAGGUGGACAGUUUGACUGGGGCGGUCGCCUCCUAAAAGGUAACGGAGGCGUUCAAAGGUUGGUUCAGCACGGACGGAAAUCGUGCAACGAGUGCAAACGCAUAAACCAGCCUAACUGCGAGACCGACAAGUCGAGCAGUAACGAAAGUUGGAGUUAGUGAUCCGGCGGUAUGAGAGUGGAAUUGCCGUCGCUCAACGGAUAAAAGCUACCCUGGGGAUAACAGGCUGAUCUCCCCCAA